UCGCCGCUCGUGACGUCUUGAGAAGUCCACUGAACCUUAUCAUUUAGAGGAAGGAGAAGUCGUAACAAGGUUUCCGUAGGUGAACCUGCGGAAGGAUCAUUGUCGAAAUACUCAAAGAGGACUGUGAACACGUCAACGAGCAUCGUCGGGCGGAGCCUGCCUCGUACCGACGUAGUGUCGGACCUCGCGGUGCGGACGACCGACCAAACCUCCGGCGCGAUGGGUGCCAAGGAGCACGGAACUAGCGUGCGGGCGGGAUUUUGUCCCGGUCGCCCUGCCAUUAGUAAGAACCGAAUGACUCUCGGCAACGGAUAUCUCGGCCCUCGCAUCGAUGAAGAACGUAGCGAAAUGCGAUACAUGGUGUGAAUUGCAGAAUCCCGCGAACCAUUGAGUCUUUGAACGCAAGUUGCGCCCGAGGCCUUCCGGUCGAGGGCACGCCUGCCUGGGCGUCACGCUAUCGUCGCUCCUUGCGCCCCCAAGCUCGAAGCACGAGCGAUGGAGCCGGAUGCGGACACUGGCCCUCCGUGCGCUCCCGCGCGGUCGGCCGAAGAGGUUGCCGUCGCCGAUGGUCGGACACGACGGAUGGUGGCGCCAUUAGCAAGCCGAAAGUCGUGCCUCGGCCUCGGAGGCGAUCUCCGAAAGGAACCCCCCAUCGCUCUGUAAUCGAAGGGCUCGGAUUGCGACCCCAGGUCAGGCGGGGCCACCCGCCGAGUUUAAGCAUAUAAAUAAGCGGAGGAGAAGAAACUUACAAGGAUUCCCAUAGUAACGGCGAGCGAACCGGGAUCGGCCCAGCUUGAGAAUCG
rnacentral:rRNA from 1 species